GCAGGGGAUCGCAAGACCUUGCGCUGAUUGAGCGGCCGAUAUCAGAUUAGCUUGUUGGUGAGGUAAAAGCUCACCAAGGCGACGAUCUGUAGCGGGUCUGAGAGGAUGAUCCGCCACACUGGAACUGAGACACGGUCCAGACUCCUACGGGAGGCAGCAGUGGGGAAUUUUGGACAAUGGGGGCAACCCUGAUCCAGCCAUGCCGCGUGAGUGAAGAAGGCCUUCGGGUUGUAAAGCUCUUUCAGCCGGGAAGAAAACGCACGGGUUAAUACCCUGUGUAGAUGACGGUACCGGAAUAAGAAGCACCGGCUAACUACGUGCCAGCAGCCGCGGUAAUACGUAGGGUGCGAGCGUUAAUCGGAAUUACUGGGCGUAAAGCGUGCGCAGGCGGUUUUGUAAGACAGGCGUGAAAUCCCCGGGCUUAACCUGGGAACUGCGUUUGUGACUGCAAGGCUAGAGUACGGCAGAGGGGGGUGGAAUUCCACGUGUAGCAGUGAAAUGCGUAGAGAUGUGGAGGAACACCAAUGGCGAGGGCAGCCCCCUGGGUCGAUACUGACGCUCAUGCACGAAAGCGUGGGUAGCAAACAGGAUUAGAUACCCUGGUAGUCCACGCCCUAAACGAUGUCAACUAGGUGUUGGGAGGGUAAAACCUUUUAGUACCGGAGCUAACGCGUGAAGUUGACCGCCUGGGGAGUACGGCCGCAAGGUUAAAACUCAAAGGAAUUGACGGGGACCCGCACAAGCGGUGGAUGAUGUGGAUUAAUUCGAUGCAACGCGAAAAACCUUACCUACCCUUGACAUGCCAAGAACUUUCCAGAGAUGGAUUGGUGCCCGAAAGGGAACUUGGACACAGGUGCUGCAUGGCUGUCGUCAGCUCGUGUCGUGAGAUGUUGGGUUAAGUCCCGCAAUGAGCGCAACCCUUGUCGUUAAUUGCCAUCAUUUAGUUGGGCACUUUAACGAGACUGCCGGUGACAAACCGGAGGAAGGUGGGGAUGACGUCAAGUCCUCAUGGCCCUUAUGGGUAGGGCUUCACACGUCAUACAAUGGUCGGUACAAAGGGUCGCCAAGCCGCGAGGUGGAGCCAAUCCCAGAAAGCCGAUCGUAGUCCGGAUCGCAGUCUGCAACUCGACUGCGUGAAGUCGGAAUCGCUAGUAAUCGUGGAUCAGAAUGUCACGGUGAAUACGUUCCCGGGUCUUGUACACACCGCCCGUCACACCAUGGGAGCGGGUUCCGCCAGAAGUAGGUAGCCUAACCGCAAGGAGGGCGCUUACCACGGCGGGGUUCGUGACUGGGGUGAAGUCGGAACAAGGUA
rnacentral:rRNA from 1 species